UAUUCUAAACAUUUGCUAACUUUUCUGCAUUGCUAAUAUAUUUACUCAAUUUUUUUAAAUUAGUUUACUGUUCUGACCUCCCAAUCAUCAUCUGCAAGCCAAAGAAGAUUUUUUCUCCUUAUUACUUUCCAGUUAUCUUGUUUGCCCUUCCAAUCAACUGCAAUCCGCUGAUUAGGACUCCUCAUUAUUUGGUUUUGCGGAAAAGAAACUUGAUCCACAAUGAAUCCACAACAAAGAAUAUGAAAACCAUCUUGAUCCUACAUAACAUAAUCUGAUGCGGACACAUGGAUGACUCUGUAUCCCUCUGUCUUCAGUUCCUUCACCCUGGCUCGCAAGACCGUUUGUGACAUAUCUAAAAAUGAAGUAAAACAGGCAACUUUGUCUACAUGUGUGUUUCCAGAGCUCUGGUCCUCUACAUAAAACAAAGAUAUUUGUAUGCUACAUGCCAGCAUUUUGCUUAUACUCCACUCUUGUGAUGUCUAAACUUGUAGCCUAUAACACUCUGCUAAGACUGUAUCCAAAGGCUGUAUUCAGAGGGUACAGGUGCAGCGGUGGAUUUAUACUUUCCUGUUGCAGCGGUGGAUUCUGAGGGUCCUGAGUCAGCGGUGGAUU